GGACGGUUGGCUCAGUUGGUCAGAGCGCUCGGACAGAACCCCAGCGGUGCGGGUUCGAGUCCCGCACCGUCCA